CGUUGGUGAUACCUUUCGUCUAUGGAGAUUCCUCAGAAAAUUUGGAAUGGAACCACCAUCUUACUCAGUUAUUCUACCCCUUAGCAUACCCAAAGGAGUUAAACUUAGUAUACUACAGUUAUGCAGCCACAUCAAUGUUUAUAGCAGUUCAAUUCACAAUAGCUAAGUUAUGGAACCCACCUAGGUGCCUUUCAACAGAUGAUGAAUAAAGAAAAUGUGGUACAUAUACUCAGUGGAAUAUUACUCAGCUAUAAAGAAGAAUGAAAUUAUGGCACUUGCCGGUAAAUGGAUGGAACUGGAGACUAUUGUGCUAAGUGAAAUAAGCCAAUCCCCAAAAAAUCAAAGGACGAAUAUUAUUUCUGAUAUAUGGUUGCUAACUAACCAUAAGUGAGUGGGAGAGUAGAAUUCACUGGAUUAGACAAAGGGGAAUGAAGGGAAGGGAGUGUGGACAAGAAUAGGAAAGAUAGUAAAUGAAUCGGACAUGACUUUCCUGUGUUCAUAUAUGAAUACAUGACCUGUUUAACUCCACAUCAUGUACAACCACAAAAAUUGGACGUUAAUUAUACUCCAUGUAUGUUUGGUAUGUCAAAAUACAUUCUACUGUCAAUUAUAACUGAAAAAGAACAGACUGGAACAGUGGUGCAUGUCUGUAAUUCCAGCUGCUUGGAAGGUUGAGACAGGCAGAUCGGGAGUUCAAAGCCAGCCUCAGCAACUUAGCAAGGCCCUAAGCAACUCAGUGAGACACUGUCUCUAAAAAUACAAAAAGGGUUGGGGAUGUGGAUCAGUAGUUUAGUGCCCCUGGGUUCAAUCCCUAGUACCAGAAAAUUAAAAAUAAAAACAUAAAAAGAACAAAUAAAAAAAUUGUUCAUGUUUAUUUACAUAAAUGAGAGCCUACUCGUGUUUCACCUAUUCUGUAUCCUUAUUUUUACCUGAAUUAUUUAGGAUAUUUUUACAUAUUCACAUGUUGAAGAUCUCUCUCUGUCUCUCUCUCUCUCUCUCUUUUGCUACUGGGGAUUAAACCCAGGGUUGCUUAAUCACUGAGCCACAUCCCUAGCCCUUUUUUAAAUUUUAUUUUGAGACGGGGUCUUCCUAAGUUGCUUAGUGUCUUGCUAAAUUGCUGAGGCUAUCUUUUAACUUGUGAUCCUCCUGCCUCAGCCUCUGGAGCCUCUGGGAUUAAAGUUGUGUGUCUCAUUCUUUUCAUUGUCUGCAGAGUAUUCCACAAUGCAGUUAAUCCCCAGACAGUGAUCAUUUGGGUUGUUAUUGCAAGCAAUAUGAUAUGAUUGAUAUCUGCAUGCAUAGAACUUGUCACCUUUUAUGAGUUUACCCAUGGGGUAAUAAGUUUUUAAAAACAAAAUUGUUGUUACAAACAGCAGGUACACUUAACUUUUGAUAGAUAUUGCCAAAUAGCUACACACUAUUGGUCUGUUUAUUUACUACUCUCACACUGUCAUUAAGGUUUUUAAGCUAAUCUGUGGGGUAAAACGGAUUCCUUAUUGCUUAAUUAACACAUUUUACUCCUAAUUUAGGCUGAAGAUCUUUUCACAUGUUUACUAGUGUUGGGACCUUGGCUAUUUGGGCAGAUUUUUUUUUUUUGGGGGGGAGGUAUUUUCUCUUUAGCAGUAUUCUGUAGGUUAAUUAGGAAUAAGGAAGAAAUAAAAGAUAAAAAGCUUGAUUCAUGGCUUUCAGGAAUAAUCUACCUGGGGAGAUAGAAAGGUAACAUUUCAAAGGCCAUCUUUUACUUGGUGGGAGCUUUAGGGAAUAGUGAAUUGAAAGGGGAAACUGAGUUUAAAAAGCAUGAGUAUUUUAGGAAUAUUGCUAGAACUGGCCUUUGGUCAGAGGUGGGAGCCAGGAGAGAUUUGAAGAUAGGAUCAAGUAUGGGCAAAUUUAGAGAAAAUAGCUGAAAGCCAAGGAAGUCUUCUGGUACAGUAAGAGAGUAGAGGCACUAGCUAGGAGGAUUCUUUGGAGGUGAUGGAACAGUGGGCUUUUUAAGUUCCAUCUCAUUCUGGUUUUCAUUGAUAAGACCAUAGGAGCAGGUGAUUGUGUGUGUGUGUGUGUGUGUGUGUGUGUGUGUGUGUGUGUGUGUGUGUGUAAUCCUUGGCAUGAAUCAUUGGAGGAUAGAUGUCAUUGGAACUCAGCUUUGAUUUUGUUUUCUCUGGGGGUAGGGAGCAUGUGGAGCUUGCUGCCAGAGGCCCUCAGUAACUAGUUCUCUUUUGCUAGGCUGAACUUUUUCCACCUGGGCAUUUCAGCUGCUCAUGCAUUGGCUUCACUCGCUGUUCUCAGCCAAUAGUGCCCUCAUGUUCUGCCUGGGCUGGGGUGAGUGCCCAGGGUAUUCUGGCCAGGCCUUUUACUAGCCCCUGGGCUCUGGCCGUUCUGCCUGCGGGCAGGAAUUACUGUUCUCACACUUUGUGAUGGUGCCCUUGGAAGCUCUUGUACCUUUUCUGGGAUGCCAUUUCUCUUUUUAACCAACUUAAGCUGUUUUCUAUUUUAUGAGGAUUUCUCAAUGCUUGUGAUCUCCUGUUUCUUUUUUAUUUUAUUUUAUUUUUUUAAGACAGGGUCUUAUUAAGUUAUGAGGCUGGCCUCAAACUUGGGUCCUUCUGCUUCAGCCUUCUGAGUAGCUGGGAUUACAGGCACAGGUCAUGGUACUUAAUUUCCUUGUGAAUUUUUGAGCAUGGCUGUUUAUUCAUUGACUAUUUAAAAACCAAAACCAAAACAAAAAACCUCCUACAUUAUUUCUAGGGUUUAGUGAGAAAAGAGGAGAAGGAGACCCUGCCCUUUGUGUCAGUAACCUGUCUUUUUGUUGUAUUCUGUCUAGUAUCUCCUGAUAUACUUGCAGUCUUUAUUUAUAUUGUUGUUUUGGAAUGAUUUCACAGUGGUCCUGGUCUGAACACUUAUUUUGAUUUAAUACCUAACUUUGUGGUCUACCCUAGCAGUUUUGAAAGUAAAGUUUAUCCUGUAAAUUCCAACAGAAAAUAGGCAAAGGAUAUGAACAGGCAAUGACUUCAUUCUCAGUAAGAAAUGCGUAAAUUAAGGGGUUGGGGCUGUGGCUCAGCAGUAGCAAGCACACUUGCCUGGUAUGUGUGAGGCACUGGGUUAGAUUCUCAGCACCUCAUAUAAAUAAAUAAAAUAAAGGUCUGUCAACAACUGAAAAAAAAAGAAAUAUGUAAAUUAAAACUGUAAAUAAGAAUUUUCGCGUAUUAGUUGGUAAGGAUCAUACAUUUUGUAGAAACAGGCAUUGCUGUAGGAGUGCAAAUUGGUUUAGCCACUAUGGAAGGCAAGUAGGCAGUGCCCAUCAACACUAAAGAUGCACAUGGCCAUUGACCCAUGUUUCUUUUUCUCUAGAUUUAUCAUACCUGAGUACUCAUGUGUGUGAAAUGUCAAGUGACUGUAUAUGAUAUAAAUAAUACUUAUCUAUUAUUGGAGAAUUAUUGGUAAUAACAAAAUCUGUAAAUUAUGUAAAUUUUCAUCACUGUCAUUUUAUAUAUAUAUAUAUAUAUAUAUAUAUAUAUAUAUAUAUAUGGAUAUAUAGUUGUAAAAGGAAUGAAGUGCUUUAUGUAUAGAAAGGAAGAAAGGAAAUAAUUUCUAGUAUGUACUGAUAGGUGUUAAUAGCAAAGUAAAGAGGCAUAUAUCAUGUGCCAUGGUUGUGUAAAAAGAACAAAUACAUAUGUUUGUGCAUAGAAUAUUUGUGGAACUGUGCCCAAGAAACUGGUAUUGUUUUCUCUGAGUUGAGAAACUAGAUGGUUAGGACAUGGAAAAUGAGGGGGACACUUUCUACUAUAUGUCCUUUAAGUUUUAUAUUUUGUACCAUGUGUAUUGCUGAUUCAAAAAAUAAAAAUAACAAGUCUGACUUAAAUUUCUUCGUUAGGCUUCUAUGAAGUAUUGUUUCUCAUUGUUGCCUUGUCUAGGAUGGGAAGGGAGUUGAUUUUAAAAUGAAAUUUUGUUCUUUUGAAAAUCUAGCAUUCAUAUACAAUGCUAAAUCCCCAAAGUAAAUUGUUUUAAUUGAUUGCUUUUAAGUUGC
rnacentral:lncRNA from 1 species